GGGGAAUAUUGGACAAUGGGCGCAAGCCUGAUCCAGCCAUGCCGCGUGAGUGAUGAAGGCCUUAGGGUUGUAAAGCUCUUUUACCAGGGAAGAUAAUGACGGUACCUGGAGAAUAAGCCCCGGCUAACUUCGUGCCAGCAGCCGCGGUAAUACGAAGGGGGCUAGCGUUGCUCGGAAUCACUGGGCGUAAAGCGCACGUAGGUGGGUCGUUAAGUCAGGGGUGAAAUCCCGGAGCUCAACUCCGGAACUGCCUUUGAUACUGGCGAUCUUGGAGUCCGGGAGAGGUGAGUGGGACUGCGAGUGUAGAGGUGAAAUUCGUAGAUAUUCGCAAGAACACCAGUGGCGAAGGCGGCUCACUGGCCCGGUACUGACACUGAGGUGCGAAAGCGUGGGAAGCAAACA
rnacentral:rRNA from 1 species